rnacentral:rRNA from 1 species
UACAGAGGUCCCGAGCGUUGUUCGGAUUCAUUGGGCGUAAAGGGUGCGUAGGCGGUUUUCUAAGUUUGAUGUGAAAUCCCGGGGCUUAACCCUGGAAUGGCAUUGAAUACUGGGAGACUAGAGAUCUGGAGAGGAAACUGGAAUUUACGGUGUAGCAGUGAAAUGCGUAGAGAUCGUAAGGAAGACCAGUGGCGAAGGCGAGUUUCUGGACAGAUACUGACGCUGAGGCACGAAGGCCAGGGGAGCAAACGGGGA